rnacentral:tRNA from 1 species
UGUCUCCUUAGCUCAGUUGGUAGAGCAGAGGACUUUUAAUCCUUGGGUCCAGGGUUCGAGCCCCUGAGGGGACAU